rnacentral:lncRNA from 1 species
GAAAUGUAAUGUAUAACACAUGUAGAUUAAGAAUGACUCAACAGAUGUACUUGAAAAUAAUUUGUAUUGAGGUUUUAUCAUAGGAAAACUAAGUGAGAGUAUUUUACAUGCAGCAUCAGGAAGAGUCAGGGACAACAAUAAAGGCAAUGAGAACUUUUCAGGUUAAAAAAGAAUGUGAGCCUUUAAUAUAUGAUCCCAAACUACUGUUGCAAUGCAAUUUCCCCCUUUUAUCCUCUUUUAAACUAUGCAUCCGUUGAAUACAACCCAUUUUAAGUACUUGUGCUGUGUACAUUAUAGUAAAAGAAAUAUAAAGCAGUCCUGCCCCUGAAAGAGAGUCUGGUCUAAAGGGGAGCUUAGGCCAAAGAAAAAUUAUAUCACCAUAGGUCCUUAUAGUUAAUAAAAGAAUAACAAUAUCAAUAAUUCAGUUAACAUUCUGUGGUUUCUGCCCUCUUAAAAAGUGUGUGUUGCCCUUAGGCACCUGCAGCAGGCAACAACAACAGCAAAAAGUAUAUAUAUAUAUAUAUGUAAAUAUAUAUACAGAGAGUUUCAUUAUUACCUUUACCUUUAGAAAUUAUAUUUAUCACACGCACACACUCAAUUUCACAAGUCAGAAAAGAAAGCAAAUAUAUGACACGUGUACUCCCUGAUGAGUAUAGCACAGCAGGACGUCCCAGAAUUUUUCACCUUUAUCCCUUUACUUUUGCUAUUUAUGCCAAGAACAUGGCUUUUCUAUUGUCUGGUGUCCAGGUUUUAUGCAUUCUUUAUAGCUCAGAGGAGAGGCUACUUUGUAUAGUGAUGUCUUCCCAGCACAGCUCAUGCUCACUUCAGACUCACCCAGAAAGCACAACCCUGAUUUUGCAUGAGAAGGACCAUCGACAGAACCUAAAACGUGAGUCCUGCUAUAUUCAAUUAUACUAUUAUAUAUACUAGUAUAUAUCAAUAUAUACUAUUAUACUAUUAUACUAUUAUAAUUGAAUAUAUUCAAUUAUACUAUUGAAUUCUAUGCUAUAUUACUGCCCUUGUAAUAAGACAUGGCACUUAUGAAGAUAUAUAAUGAGAGUCUUGAUUUAAGUGUUAAGUCUGGACUAUAAGAGGUAUAGAAAGUAAGAACUGAUAUGUCUUCAUAUCAAUUUAAGGAAUUCUAGUAAUCAGUAGAUACUUAACUUUGAAUAAGAUAAUAUAUUUGUGCUUUCAUUGAUAUUUAAUUUAAAGCAUAUAGCUUUAUAUAGUUUUA